rnacentral:lncRNA from 1 species
UACUUGCCGCAUUUACAUUUCAUACUUUCUAUAUCAUAUCUAUACCUCAAUUGACUUAAUGGUGUAUUUCUCCACUCUCGGCGGCUUACCCACUGGGAACUAUUAUUUAAUAGUUCUCACCCCCAUUGGUUGGUUGUUCUUAUUUCAGAGCCUUCCGCAGCGGGAAAGGCUAGGGAUUGUGGCUAGGGAGGCAACGACUAGCUAGAGCCUCACGAUGUGUGAUAGAUGAACCCAUAGAUUUAUUAGUGGCUUAUUACAGUGAUGUAUUUUUACUAUAUGUGAGAUUCUAUAUAUUCAUUUAGUACUCUUGGUUAGAUUAUUAUAAUCCCGUGAUAUUAGUUUCAAAAUUUUGUAUCUAGUUAUUGUAUGUUCUCGCUUUGAUUAUCAUUUUUAGGAUGGAUUAUACUAUUGUUCUCUAUGAUUGUUGUAGACGCCUAGUAUACAUUUUGGUUUGUGGUGUGCACGGCGGGUCUGUGCACGCACCCGGCGGGCUUUCGCUGCAGCCUGGGGCGUGACAUCUACAUCCUUUCUAAAAUGUUGUUUGUGUAAUAAGGAGGACAUGAUAGAUUCAAAUUUUGAAAUUCAAAUGUGGCUAAGUCGAAUCCAAUUCGAGUCCAGUUUGAAUCUGAACCUAAGCCCGAACAUAAACCCACUCUAAAUUUAUCUGCGUAUUGGUGGACCCCCAUUAUUAUUAUUAUUUUCUUUAUCUCACAUAAAAAAAAGGGGGGUCCACAACAAAAAUAUGGGGUUAGUGGAGAUUCACAAAUAUC